UACGUAGGUGGCAAGCGUUGUUCGGAAUCAUUGGGCGUAAAGCGCGUGUAGGCGGCUGGGUAAGUCUGAUGUGAAAGCCCGGGGCUCAACCCCGGAAGUGCAUUGGAUACUGCCCGGCUAGAGGGCGAGAGAGGGAAGUGGAAUUCCUGGUGUAGGGGUGAAAUCCGUAGAUAUCAGGAGGAACAUCAGUGGCGAAGGCGACUUCCUGGCUCGUUACUGACGCUGAGACGCGAAAGCGUGGGGAGCAAACAGG
rnacentral:rRNA from 1 species